rnacentral:rRNA from 1 species
UACGUAGGGUGCAAGCGUUAAUCGGAAUUACUGGGCGUAAAGCGUGCGCAGGCGGUUAUGUAAGACAGGUGUGAAAUCCCCGGGCUUAACCUGGGAACUGCAUUUGUGACUGCAUAGCUAGAGUACGGUAGAGGGGGAUGGAAUUCCGCGUGUAGCAGUGAAAUGCGUAGAUAUGCGGAGGAACACCGAUGGCGAAGGCAGCCUCCUGGGAUAACACUGACGCUCAUGCACGAAAGCGUGGGGAGCAAACAGG